UUGUAAAGAAAAAAAAACGACCACAGGAGGACCACGGGCUCGCCUCCUCCCCCUCUCACCCACGCCGCCGCCGCCACCACCCACGCCGCCGCCACCACCACCCACGCCGGCUGCUUCCGGCGACCUCCGAUGCCGCGCAGCACGCCCCCGAGCUCCCCACGGUCCGCGCCUCCCUCCCCUCCGGCCAGAUUCUCCGCUCCGGUCCUCUACCGCCCGCUCGCAACCCCACCCCCGUGGCUAGGGUUUCGGGCAGGGCAUCGCCGGCGCGUCUCCGGCGGACCCAGGAAUUUUUUGUGAGUGUCAUGGGGAUAUCUGCCUCGGAAAAUCAGGUUGCUGAAAUCACCAACGAAACUGAUGGUAAGAAAGUAGACCCGAGCAAGACCGAUAUAACCCCCGGAAUGCAGGGUGAGGAGGAACAUAACAAACUCUCCGGGAAGGAAACUGCUCUAUGAUACAGACAACAAAGAAGAAGAUGAAGAGGGUAACAGUAGAAGCCGGAACCUAACAAUCACCGCUGCGAAGUAUGAGGAGGUGUUUGAAGAAGCUCACCCCGCCAUUCCCACCAAGCAGGUUGAAAACAAAUGCCCCAAGCAAUACACCAACUGAUCGAGCUACACAAAUUUUCCCACACAAGUCACAAGAGGCUGUGUACCUCUUCGGUACAGGCUACUGGUACCAGCCAGAACACCUCGAGAUGGUUUGUGAUGAGUUUCUGCUCUAGGAAUGGCAGGGCGCUGCUGCUCGAGAGAUAGGCGUUGAUUGCUGCAAUUUAGGGCUUGAUUGAGCUGCUGCUAGAAAGAGAGAGAGAACAGAGAGGGAGAGACAGGGUUCCAAUGCUUACUGAUCUGGUUUUGGUGAGCAAAAAAUGAGAAAUAGGAGAGGAACAGAGAGAGCAGAGAGAUAGAGAGCGCAGAGAGAGAGGCACACAUCACUGAACCCUUUGGAUUCUAAUGCAAGGUUGAAUAUUUUUUGUGUGUUCUAACUCUCUGGGCCAAUAUGCAGUUUUUUGGCUUAUCAUUGUGCCUCAAGUUUCUGACAUCGCGUGGCUGUACCACUGAUUACGAGUCGAGGGACUAGUCGAGACUAGUCGACAGACUAGUCUACGAGUCGCAACUUGAGUGUCGACUGCAAAUCUCGUGUAGACUACUUGGUCGAGUCGAGCAGUUGACAGACUAGUCGAGCUAUUUGAGUCGAGCGACUCAAAAUUUUGAGGGGAUAAGUCACCCAGCCUGGCCGGAGCUCGUGCUUGGGCAGAGGCCAUAGCCGUGACACGUAGGAGUGCGCGGCCCUGAGACAAGAGAGAAGGAAGAGAGAUAGAGGAGAGGAGAGGAGGAGGCAUGGCGGUGAUCGGCGGCAGCGGCCGGAGGCGUGGGUUGCGCGCGCGUGCUCCCUUGUGUGAUGAUGCUGGCGGCUGCAAUGGGAUCGAUCGGGAGCUAGGGUUCCAGUUACUGGGGGGGCUAAGUAGGCUGGCCACUUGGGCCCAAAUGGGCCAGCUGGGGGGCUGCUGCGUGGCGCUGGGCUGGGCUUGGUGAGCGUCGCCUAGCACUUCUGGUGUUAUUGCAUACUGUACUGUUAGUAUGUACUACAUACACCGCUCAGAAAAUAUAUAUACUACAUACUACUACUAGUUAUUAAUAAUUGAGUACUACAGUACCAUGUCGACUAGUCCAGCACUAGUCUAGACUAGUCACGAUUAGUCUAUGAGUCUCAACCUCGGAACGACUCGUCGACUUGUCGACUCGUAAACCUUGGGCUGUACACCGACGACUUUCGCCGAUAAUCCGUCUGCUCGUACUCGACCGUUCGCUGGAACUUUGUCUGACCUGAGGUACAUACUACGGUGUCAUCAAUUGCAUCUGUCAUCAAAGACUACUUAUUAAUUUUGUAUGUUCUUUAGUAUAUGCUCUUUAAGCUCUGAACAAGUCAAUGCCUGAAAUACCACAUGUAGUCAUUACAAGAUGAUCUUCGGGAAAGACAAUAAUUACAAGUAGCGAUUAAAGGAUAUAAAGCUAGCUAAAUUUUUAUCUAGGAAGAACAGCUGCUGUAUGACAGGAAAAAUUUAAGAAAAGAUAAACUAAUAUCAUGGUGAUGGCAUUAAUUGACUAUUUUGUAAGUAGCAAUCAAAGGUGAUAAAGGUAGCAAAUUUUUUAUCUAGGAAGAACAGCUGUUGUGACAGAAAUGAAAGCUAAAUAUACAAGUAUAUACUUGUUCGUGUCUAUCAAUUUAAUUUCAUGAGUAUUUCAAAUUCAUUCUUCUUACUUCUUCAGAUAAUACGGUAUAUGCUACUUUUGUUCAGGUAUAUACUUCUUUUUACCACUUUUACUUUUUCUCAGCGGAUUCAUGCAUGCUUCUCCUCAUAGGUUUCCCUUAGUUCAGUACUUAAUUUUUUUGGUGUAUACUUUCUCCUCGUCAGAGUAUACGUACAACAAGACAGAAAGAAACAUAUACUGUUGAUCGAUACUGAAAUAUCAUAUGGAAGAUAGCCCUCUCUUCUAUACCCCAUUGUGAAAAGUAGUAUACUAUCAAUUGAAAACACACCAUAUACUCCUUUCAGACAAUGAGUAUACACUGAUCGUUAUUGCCAGUAUCAUAGGUAUAUACUCUGAGAAUAGUUGUAUAUAUCCCAUUUGAAAAUAUAAAUAUGUAUAUACUCCUUGCAAACUACUCAUCAUUUAAACGUUUUUACAUAAGAUUGUCCGUCUGGAUACAAUAACUAAUUAGUAUUUUAAUAACUUAAAUUGCAUGGCUUGAUCGUCUGCUUGAGUCUUCUCUUAUGUAUGAGUGCACCAUGUGUGGGUUAAUUUUUUUUGGGUCUUCUAAUUCUCUGUGGUAAUUUGCAUCUAUAUUUGUGCUAAUUGGCAAGGUGCAUGAAUAAUGAUUUAUCUAAGUUUUUUGCUUAAUGGAAAGGCCUUUUCAGUUAAAAAACCCCUACUGAUUUGAUCAACAGAACAUGCGUCUGUUUUUAAAUAGCUGAAUUUCUACUUAUUUAAUUGACUAUUGUGGUGUCAAGAUCCAAUAGCCUUGCUAUUAGUUAAUGCUCUAUUUAUAUUUUCUUCCAACAAAACAAAUGUAUGUUUACAGCAAAAAAACUCGUCAUUUCCAGCAAAAACAAUGGCUCGCUGUCGCCAGGUCGCAGCAAAAGUUUUGGCCGGUCCCAUAAGAAAAUUAGUUCCAACAAAAAAAGAUUGUUGUCGCGGUCACAUGUACUAUACUCUACGCCUCCUGAAGAUGUGCAUUAAUGGUUGGCUGUUAUAAUACAUAUAUGUAAGAUUCCAUGUUAUACCAGCUUAGCAGAACUUCACGGAAAUUUGCUAGAGGUGUUGCAACAGCCUUGAUCAAAUAUUAUUUUCAUUAUUCCUUCUUGGUUUGAGACAAUAACAGUAGAUAAUCUUCAUCGAAAUUUGCUAGAGAAGUUCCAACAGCUUUGAUCAAAUAUUAUUUUUAUUAUUCCUUCUUGGUUUUAGACAAUGAAGUAGAGAAUCUAAAUACUUCUACUUUAUGUGUACUUGUAAUAGAGCAACGCUUGGUGCAGCUAGCUGCAACAGGGACCAACUUGACUUGAUGGGGAUACAAUCACCAAGAAAGAAUCAUACCUGAACUUACCUUUAUGCAUUGCACGAGCUACCAAUAUAUUGUAUCUUCCUGUAUGAUCCGUAACUCAUAGACACAUGAGUAGCGAUGGAUACUAUUUGGUAUGAACAACAUCAUCAUCUUGCAAUUCUAACAUGUAUUCAUUAACUUAUUUAUCCACAUAAUAGUGAUGCAUCUUACGUUUCUGUCUAUUGUAUCUGAAUCUAAAAUGCAAUUAACUCCUUAAUUUGCCUUCAACAGGAUUGAGCGAUCUGGCAUGUAAGCUUAGCUCGGUGGUUCAGAUUAUCACUGUUAGUCUUCUGCUCGUGGCAAUUUUUUAGACCUCUUGAGUUAUCUCAACGAAUCUGGUGUGAAGCUAUGAAGGGAUUUUUCUUGAAAACAAUACUGAAAGGAUACCUUAACUUCAUUUUAUCCCCUAGAUUAGUAUACGUAUAUUAAGUCCCCAUUUAUUUUAGAUGUAUAGCUUGCAUGACAGUUUUGUUUAAACAGAUUUUUUGGGCAUUUUGCAAUUCUCACAUAUGUUGUUACCCAUGCACUUACUUUUAUCAUUUCCAGUGUCAAUGUUUACAAAAUUGUUAAAUCUUUUUUUAUUGGAGUUCAGCCAUGUUUUCCACCAAGGAUUCAACUUGCAAGCAUCUGAAUCUUAUGUUGUCCGAUUCA